rnacentral:rRNA from 1 species
UUCGUCACACUAUCAUUAACUGAAUCCAUAGGUUAAUGAGGCGAACCGGGGGAACUGAAACAUCUAAGUACCCCGAGGAAAAGAAAUCAACCGAGAUUCCCCCAGUAGCGGCGAGCGAACGGGGAGCAGCCCAGAGCCUGAAUCAGUGUGUGUGUUAGUGGAAGCGUCUGGAAAGGCGCGCGAUACAGGGUGACAGCCCCGUACACAAAAAUGCACAUGCUGUGAGCUCGAUGAGUAGGGCGGGACACGUGGUAUCCUGUCUGAAUAUGGGGGGACCAUCCUCCAAGGCUAAAUACUCCUGACUGACCGAUAGUGAACCAGUACCGUGAGGGAAAGGCGAAAAGAACCCCGGCGAGGGGAGUGAAAAAGAACCUGAAACCGU